rnacentral:rRNA from 1 species
UUAAUCUUUUUUUUUUAAAUUUAUAUUUUAAUUUUAAAUUUAUUUAUUUGUUAAUUAUUUUUUUAAUUAAUUUUUUAAUUAAGGUUUUGUAAAAUUUAAAUUUUAAAUAUUUAAAAGUAAAUAUUUUUAUUGUACCUUUUGUAUCAGGGUUAAUUAAUUUAUAUAAAUAAUUUUAUUUUCUCGAAAAAUUAAGAUUUUAAUUUAUUUGAUUUUAAUUGUUUUAAAAAUUUUAAUAAAAUAAAUUAAGUUUUGAAAAAAAAAUCGUUUAUUUUGAUAUCUAGUUAAUUUGAAUUUAAAUUUAAUUUAGGAUUUUUAAUUAUUUGAAAUUUUUUAACUAUUAAAAUUUUAAAAUCUAAAUUAAUUUAGGUUAAGCUAGAUUAAAUUUUAUAAUUUAUUUAUAAAUUUAAGAUUUUGUAGGAUUAAAAUCUUUUAUCUUUAAAAAUUCGUUUUAGAUAAAUCUUUUAUGUAAGUAAUAUUUAAUUUUUUACAAAUUUUUUUAAUUUAAUGAAUUUUUUAUUUAAUAAUGAUUAAAUUAGUAAAUUAAAAAUUUUAAGUUAUGAACUAGGCAAAUUUAUAUUUGACUGUUUAUCAAAAACAUUUUCUUUUGUUUUUUUAAAAGGUAAAACCUGCUCAAUGAAAAUUUAAAUAGCUGCAGUAAUUUAACUGUACAAAGGUAGCAUAAUAAUUAGUCUUUUAAUUGAGGUCUAGAAUGAAUGGUUUAACAAAAUAUUAACUUUAUUACUUUAAUUCAAUUUAAUUUAAUUUUUUAGUUAAAAAGCUAAAAUAAUUAAAUGGGACGAUAAGACCCUAUAGAUCUUUAAUUUUUUUUUUAAUAAAAAUUUUUUUUUUGGUAUUAUCAAUGUUUAAUUUAAUUAAAAUUUUAAUUGGGGUGAUUUAAAAAAUUUAAAACUUUUUAAUGUUUUUUCAUAUAUUAAUGUUUAUUUGAUCUUAAAUUUUAGAUUAUUAGAUUAAGAUACCUUAGGGAUAACAGCGUAAUAAAUUUGAAUAGUUCAUAUUGUUAAAUUUGUUUACGACCUCGAUGUUGAAUUAAUUUUAAAAUUUGAAGUAGAAAUUGAAGUUUUUAGGUCUGUUCGACCUUUAAUUAAUUACAUGAUUUGAGUUCAAACCGGUGUAAGCCAGGUUGGUUUCUAUCUAUUUAAAGUUUUAUUUAAUUAGUACGAAAGGACUUUUAAAUUAGAAAUUAUUUCU